CUGCUACCAAGUAAGCCAAACCAGUCCCUUUCUGCACAGGGGCCUUGUCUGCAAUGACCGUGAGCUGCAGCCUACUUGGGAGUGCAUUCAACCUUUGCCUACAGGGGUUGCCCUAAGGAACCUUGGAGACUGUU
ensembl:snoRNA LOC120097674 small nucleolar RNA SNORA70